rnacentral:rRNA from 1 species
ACGAACGCUGGCAGCGUGCUUAACACAUGCAAGUCGAGCGGUGAAGCGCCUUCCUUUUUGGUGGGUGUGGAUGAGUGGCGAACGGGUGAGUAACACGUGAGUAACCUGCCCCCUUCUUCUGGAUAACCGCAUGAAAGUGUGGCUAAUACGGGAUAUUCUGGGUCUGUCGCAUGAUGGGUCUGGGAAAGAUAUUGUUUCGGUGGGGGAUGGGCUCGCGGCCUAUCAGCUUGUUGGUGGGGUGAUGGCCUACCAAGGCGGUGACGGGUAGCCGGCCUGAGAGGGUGGACGGGCACACUGGGACUGAGACACGGCCCAGACUCCUACGGGAGGCAGCAGUGGGGAAUAUUGCACAAUGGGCGCAAGCCUGAUGCAGCGACGCCGCGUGAGGGAUGGAGGCCUUCGGGUUGUGAACCUCUUUCGCCAGUGAAGCAGGCCUGCCUCGUUUGUGGGUGGGUUGACGGUAGCUGGAUAAGAAGCGCCGGCUAACUACGUG